AGUGAACGCUGGCGGUAGGCCUAACACAUGCAAGUCGAACGGCAGCACAGUAAGAGCUUGCUCUUACGGGUGGCGAGUGGCGGACGGGUGAGGAAUACAUCGGAAUCUACUUUUUCGUGGGGGAUAACGUAGGGAAACUUACGCUAAUACCGCAUACGACCUACGGGUGAAAGCAGGGGAUCUUCGGACCUUUCGCGAUUGAAUGAGCCGAUGUCGGAUUAGCUAGUUGGCGGGGUAAAGGCCCACCAAGGCGACGAUCCGUAGCUGGUCUGAGAGGAUGAUCAGCCACACUGGAACUGAGACACGGUCCAGACUCUUACGGGAGGCAGCAGUGGGGAAUAUUGGAGAAUGGGCGAAAGCCUGAUCCAGCCAUACCGCGUGGGUGAAGAAGGCCUUCGGCUGGUAAAGCCCUGUUGUUGGGAAAGAAAAACAGCAGGUUAAUACCCGGCUGUACUGACGGUACCGAAAGAAUAAGCACCGGCUAACUUCGUG
rnacentral:rRNA from 1 species